rnacentral:rRNA from 1 species
AGUGAACGCUGGCGGCAGGCCUAACACAUGCAAGUCGAACGGCAGCACAAGAGAGCUUGCUCUCUGGGUGGCGAGUGGCGGACGGGUGAGGAGUGCAUCGGAAUCUGCCCAUUUGUGGGGGAUAACCUCGGGAAACCGGGACUAAUACCGCAUACGACCUACGGGUGAAAGCAGGGGAUCUUCGGACCUUGCGCAGAUGGAUGAGCCGAUGCCGGAUUAGCUAGUUGGAGGGGUAAAGGCCCACCAAGGCGACGAUCCGUAGCUGGUCUGAGAGGAUGAUCAGCCACACUGGGACUGAGACACGGCCCAGACUCCUGCGGGAGGCAGCAGUGGGGAAUAUUGGACAAUGGGCGCAAGCCUGAUCCAGCCAUGCCGCGUGUGUGAAGAAGGCCUUCGGGUUGUAAAGCACUUUUGUUGGGAAAGAAAAGCAGCCGGUUAAUACCCGGUUGUCAUGACGGUACCCAAAGAAUAAGCACCGGCUAACUUCGUG